rnacentral:rRNA from 1 species
GACCUGGCUGGGUGGUCCGCUUAACGGCGUGUACUGCUUGGCUGGGCCUUACCUCUUGGUGAGCCGGCGUGCCCUUUAUUGGUGUGCGUCGGGGAACCAGGACUUUUACCUUGAGAAAAUUAGAGUGUUCAAAGCAGGCCUAUGCCUGAAUACAUUAGCAUGGAAUAAUAAAAUAGGACGUGCAGUUCUAUUUUGUUGGUUUCUAGGAUUGCCGUAAUGAUUAAUAGGGAUAGUUG